CAGCAGCCGCGGUAAUCCGGAAGGUCCGGGCGUUAUCCGGAUUUAUUGGGUUUAAAGGGAGCGUAGGUGGACUGGUAAGUCAGUUGUGAAAGUUUGCGGCUCAACCGUAAAAUUGCAGUUGAUAUUGUCAGUCUUGAGUACAGUAGAGGUGGGCGGAAUUCGUGGUGUAGCGGUGAAAUGCUUAGAUAUCACGAAGAACUCCGAUUGCGAAGGCAGCUCGCUGGACUGCAACUGACACUGAUGCUCGAAAGUGUGGGUAUCAAACAGGAUAAAUACCCUGGUAGUCCACACNGUAAACNAUGANCACUANCUGUUUGCNAUACACNNNAAGCNGCNCAGCNAAAGCNUUAANUGAUCCACCUGGGGAGU
rnacentral:rRNA from 1 species